GAUGAACGCUGGCGGCGUGCUUAACACAUGCAAGUCGAACGAAGCACUUUACAGCGAUCCCUUCGGGGUGACAAUUUAGUGACUGAGUGGCGGACGGGUGAGUAACGCGUGGGUAACCUGCCUUAUACUGGGGGAUAACAGUUGGAAACGACUGCUAAUACCGCAUAAGCGCACGAGGUCGCAUGACCUUGUGUGAAAAACUCCGGUGGUAUAAGAUGGACCCGCGUCUGAUUAGCUAGUUGGUGAGGUAAUGGCUCACCAAGGCGACGAUCAGUAGCCGACCUGAGAGGGUGACCGGCCACAUUGGGACUGAGACACGGCCCAAACUCCUACGGGAGGCAGCAGUGGGGAAUAUUGCACAAUGGGCGAAAGCCUGAUGCAGCGACGCCGCGUGAGCGAAGAAGUAUUUCGGUAUGUAAAGCUCUAUCAGCAGGGAAGAAAAAAUGACGGUACCUGACUAAGAAGCUCCGGCUAAAUACGUGCCAGCACG
rnacentral:rRNA from 1 species